CCUACGGGCGGCAGCAGUGAGGAAUAUUGGUCAAUGGACGAGAGUCUGAACCAGCCAAGUAGCGUGAAGGAUGACUGCCCUAUGGGUUGUAAACUUCUUUUAUAUGGGAAUAAAACGUUCCACGUGUGGGAUUUUGUAUGUACCAUAUGAAUAAGGAUCGGCUAACUCCGUGCCAGCAGCCGCGGUAAUACGGAGGAUCCGAGCGUUAUCCGGAUUUAUUGGGUUUAAAGGGAGCGUAGGUGGAUUGUUAAGUCAGUUGUGAAAGUUUGCGGCUCAACCGUAAAAUUGCAGUUGAAACUGGCAGUCUUGAGUACAGUAGAGGUGGGCGGAAUUCGUGGUGUAGCGGUGAAAUGCUUAGAUAUCACGAAGAACUCCGAUUGCGAAGGCAGUUCACUGGACUGCAACUGACACUGAGGCUCGAAAGUGUGGGUAUCAAACAGGAGUAGAUACCCGAGUAGUC
rnacentral:rRNA from 1 species